rnacentral:misc_RNA from 1 species
GCUCAGAGCUCCUCUUUCCCUCAGGUGAUUUGGUGAUUCCUUUCUUUUGCUUUUUAUCUCAUUCUGAUCCUUCCACCAAUGUCAUUAUAGCGUAGCUGAUUCGAUUCAUUUCUGUGACAAUUUGGAUUCUCAUGCGAUUGAUCUCGUUGAUUAUUUUUGAAUCUGGAUUCUGGAAGAAUGUGCUUUGAUUUACAUGGCGUUUGAUCUGUUUCGUUAGUUGAAUCAUUGCGAUAAUUGGUGUUUGCUUGUUGAUUUUUUAUUGGAGGAGAGCGUGUAAUGUUAAGAUUUUCAAAGCAAAAUUCGUAAAGAAGCUGAUCUUAGAUCCCAAA